rnacentral:rRNA from 1 species
GACGAACGCUGGCGGCGUGCUUAACACAUGCAAGUCGAACGGAAAGGCCCUGCUUUUGUGGUGUGCUCGAGUGGCGAACGGGUGAGUAUCACGUGAGUAACCUGCCCUUGACCUUGGGAUAACUUCAGUAAACUGGGGCUCAUAUCGGAUAUGAGCUCCUUCUGCAUGGUGGGGUUUGUAAAGUUGCGGCGGUUGGGGAUGGACUCGCGGCAUAUCAGCUUGUUGGUGGGGUAGUGGCUUACCAAGGCUUUGACGGGUAGCCGGACUGAGAGGGUGACCGGGCACAGUGGGACUGAGAUACGGGCCAGACGGCUACGGGAGGAAGCAGUGGGGAAUAUUGCAAAAUGGGCGGAAGCAGGAUGCAGCAACGCCGCGUGCGGGAUGACGGCCUUAGGGUUGUAAACCGCUUGCGCCUGUGAAGAAGAGUGAGUGACGGUAAUGGGUAAAGAAGCACCGGCUAACUACGUG